AUUGAACGCUGGCUGCAGGCUUAACACAUGCAAGUCGAACGAGUGGCGGACGGGUGAGUAAUGCUUGGGAAUCUCGCUUAUGGAGGGGGAUAACUACGGGAAACUGUAGCUACUACCGCGUACCAUAGGAUGAGCCCAAGGGGGACUAGUUAGUUGGUGAGGUAAAGGCUCACCAAGCCGACGAUCUCUAGCUGGUCUGAGAGGAUGACCAGCCACACUGGGACUGGGACACGGCCCAGACUCCUGCGGGAGGCAGCAGUGGGGAAUAUGGCGCAAUGGGGGCAACCUGACGGAGCGAUGCCGCGUGAAUGAAGAAGGCCUUCGGGUUUUAAAGUUCUUUCGGUAGCGAGGCGUUAACUACAGAAGAAGCACCGGCGAACUCCGUGCCAGCAGCCGCGGUAAUAC
rnacentral:rRNA from 1 species